AAGUCGUAACAAGGUUUCCGUAGGUGAACCUGCGGAAGGAUCAUUAAUGAAGCAUGUCGUGAAGGGCUGUUGCUGGCUCCUCCCAUCACAGGAAAGGGGCAUGUGCACGCCUGGAACGGCUCUCAUCCAUAUCUCAUUCCCUGUGCACACCUGUGGGCAAAGCGCUUUGGGGUCUUUUGGUCCCUUAUGCUUGCCCACCUCUUUUUUGUUCACUCUCAUUACAGUCACUUGGAAUGUCUGCUGUCGUCAGAAAUAAAACAACUUUCAGCAACGGAUCUCUUGGCUCUC
rnacentral:misc_RNA from 1 species